UAGGGAAUUUUCCACAAUGGGCGAAAGCCUGAUGGAGCAACGCCGCGUGCAGGAUGAAGGCCUUCGGGUUGUAAACUGCUUUUAUUUGUGACGAUUUUGACGGUAGCAGAUGAAUAAGGAUCGGCUAACUCCGUGCCAGCAGCCGCGGUCAUACGGAGGAUCCAAGAGUUAUCCGGAAUUACUGGGCGUAAAGAGUUGCGUAGGUGGCAGAGUAAGUUGGUAGUGAAAGCGUUCCGCUCAACGGGAUACACAUUACCAAAACUGCUCAGCUUGAGAGUGGAAGAGGUCGCUAGAAUUCCUGGUGUAGGGGUGAAAUCCGUAGAUAUCAGGAGGAAUACCAAUGGCGUAGGCAGGCGACUGGUCCAUUUCUGACACUCAGGCACGAAAGCGUGGGGAGCGAUCG
rnacentral:rRNA from 1 species